rnacentral:rRNA from 1 species
CACGUAGGGGGCGAGCGUUGUCCGGAUUUAUUGGGCGUAAAGAGCUCGUAGGCGGCUCAGUAAGUCGGGUGUGAAAACUCCAGGCUCAACCUGGAGACGCCACCCGAUACUGCUGUGGCUAGAGUCCGGUAGGGGAGCAUGGAAUUCCUGGUGUAGCGGUGAAAUGCGCAGAUAUCAGGAGGAACACCGGUGGCGAAGGCGGUUCUCUGGGCAUGUCCUGACGCUGAGGAGCGAAAGUGUGGGGAGCGAACAGG